rnacentral:rRNA from 1 species
AGCUCCAAUAGCGUAUAUUAAAGUUGUUGCAGUUAAAAAGCUCGUAGUUGAAUUUCUGAUAGAAGGGAGCGGUUCCGCAUUCUUGCGGAUACUGGCUCGUCUUCCGUCAUCCUUGGGCUUAGUCUCGCUGAUAUUAACUUAUCGGCGUGUAAGAUGCCCCUCGUUUACUGUGAGCAAAUUAGAGUGUUCAAAGCAGGCAUUUUGCCAUUGAAUAUAUUAGCAUGGAAUAAUAAGAUAGGAUUUCACGAUUUUAUUUUGUUGGUUUGCGUUGUGAAAUAAUGAUUAAGAGGGACAGUUGUGGGUAUUCGUAUUCAGAUGUCAGAGGUGAAAUUCUUAGAUUAUCGGAAGACGAACGACUGCGAAAGCAUUUACCAAGGAUGUUUUCA